CAGUAGCCGCGGUAAUACGUAGGUCCCGAGCGUUGUCCGGAUUUAUUGGGCGUAAAGCGAGCGCAGGCGGUUAGAUAAGUCUGAAGUUAAAGGCUGUGGCUUAACCAUAGUACGCUUUGGAAACUAUUUAACUUGAGUGCAGAAGGGGAGAGUGGAAUUCCAUGUGUAGCGGUGAAAUGCGUAGAUAUAUGGAGGAACACCGGUGGCGAAAGCGGCUCUCUGGUCUGUAACUGACGCUGAGGCUCGAAAGCGUGGGGAGCAAACAGGAUUAGAUACCCCCGUAGUCCCUGUCUCUUAUACA
rnacentral:rRNA from 1 species